rnacentral:tRNA from 1 species
GCGCCGGUGAUGUAAGGCGUAGCAUCGCUGCCCGGAAAGCAGAAGGUGCGGGUUCGAGUCCCGCAUGUCGCA